GCUUUCAAGAGUCAAGUUGUUUGGGAUUGCAGCUUAAAAUGGGAGGUAAAUUUCUCCUAAGGCUAAAUAACGGCGAGAGGCCGAUAGCGAACAAGUACCGUGAGGGAAAGAUGAAAAGAACUUUGAAAAGAGAGUUAAACAGUACGUGAAAUUGUUGAAAGGGAAACGAUUGAAGCCAGUCGUACCUGCGGGUAAUCAGCCUUUUGGGCAUGAUUCUGUGGAGCGUGAGGAGUUAAACGCCUUCAUGCCUGCAUAUUCGUGUACUUUGGGUGUACUUGCCUGUGUGGUUAGUUAACAUCAGUUUUGGUUAUCGUAAAAUGGUUGGAGGAAUGUAGCUUCGAUUUCGAUUGAAGUGUUUAUAGCCUUCGGCAGAUGUGAUGAUCGGGAUUGAGGAUUGCAACGGAUACCCUUCGGGGCUACCUGUCUGAUCUCUGAUCGUUUCUCUGGUGCCGAAAGCGUGCUUACGGUUAUCAAAGUCGAUGGUCAAUAGGUUAGAAUGGGUCAAAUUCGUUA
rnacentral:rRNA from 1 species